UGAUGAUGAUGAUGAUGAUGAUGAUGAUGAUGGUGAUGAUCAUGAUCAUGAUCAUGAUGAUGAUGAUCAUCAUCAUCAUCAUCAUUAUCAUCAUCGUGA
rnacentral:pre_miRNA from 1 species